UACGGAGGGUGCGAGCGUUGUCCGGAAUCAUUGGGCGUAAAGGGCGCGUAGGUGGCCCGGUCAGUCCGUGGUGAAAGCGCGGGGCUCAACCCCGCGUCGGCCAUGGAUACUGCUGGGCUGGAGCACUGUAGAGGCAGGCGGAAUUCCGGGUGUAGCGGUGGAAUGCGUAGAGAUCCGGAAGAACACCGGUGGCGAAGGCGGCUUCCUGGACCGAUACUGACGCUGAGGCGCGAAAGCUAGGGGAGCAAACGGG
rnacentral:rRNA from 1 species